UACGUAGGGUCCGAGCGUUGUCCGGAAUUACUGGGCGUAAAGAGCUCGUAGGUGGUUUGUCGCGUUGUUCGUGAAAACUCACAGCUCAACUGUGGGCGUGCGGGCGAUACGGGCAGACUAGAGUACUGCAGGGGAGACUGGAAUUCCUGGUGUAGCGGUGGAAUGCGCAGAUAUCAGGAGGAACACCGGUGGCGAAGGCGGGUCUCUGGGCCGUAACUGACGCUGGAGGAGCGAAAGCGUGGGGAGCGAACAGG
rnacentral:rRNA from 1 species